UACGUAGGGGGCAAGCGUUGUCCGGAUUUAUUGGGCGUAAAGAGCGUGUAGGCGGCCAUACAGGUCCGUUGUGAAAACUCGAGGCUCAACCUCGAGACGUCGAUGGAAACCGUAUGGCUAGAGUCCGGAAGAGGAAAGUGGAAUUCCUGGUGUAGCGGUGAAAUGCGCAGAUAUCAGGAAGAACACCAAUGGCGAAAGCAGCUUUCUGGGACGGUACUGACGCUGAGACGCGAAAGCGUGGGGAGCGAACGGG
rnacentral:rRNA from 1 species